UACGUAGGGGGCAAGCGUUGUCCGGAUUUAUUGGGCGUAAAGAGCUCGUAGGCGGUUGGGCAAGUCACGUGUGAAAUCUCCACGCUCAACGUGGAGGCGCCACGUGAGACUGCCCUGACUCGAGUCCGGUAGGGGAGCGUGGAAUUCCUGGUGUAGCGGUGAAAUGCGCAGAGUAUCAGGAGGAACACCGGUGGCGAAGGCGGGUCUCUGGGCCGUAACUGACGCUGAGGAGCGAAGGCGUGGGGAGCGAACGGG
rnacentral:rRNA from 1 species